UUUGUUUGUUGUGAUAGACAAAAAAGUCUUACAUUUUUUAUUGGUUUUCACACAAUACUAUUUAUUAUGUAAAUUGAUAAAGCAUUCUUUAACUGACCAAUAUGACCUCAGGUAAGUUUUUGCUUUUUCUGUUCAGAUCAUUUUAGCGAAUACAAAGCAUCAAAAAGCCUACCCUGCUGAAAUUAGUUUUCAAACAAAUGAAGGUAAAUUAAGACCCUACAAAUUACCAAAUAGAGAAAAAAGAAAGACAAAAAGCAGUAUUAGAAUAAAAUAAAGAUCAAAACCAUUCUAUAGCAGUUGACACAUCAUUUUAUUUUCAGUACUUCUCGUAAAAGGCCGCAAUGGUAAAGACUUGCUGAUGCUCGAAGGCUACACUUACUACCAGCACAAGAUUUUGAGGGACGGAUUCCGGUGGAGCUGCACUCAGAUGGGCUCCAGAUCUUGCCGAGGGUUUCUCCAUGUGACCAAUGAUAUGUUCGUGGUUAGGGCUUUCACUGAACACACACAUCCACCGACUACGUAUGCCCGGAAAACUUUCAAGACUCAAAGGAAGAUAAAUGACAAUAAAAGGCACAAGUUGGUAAAAGAGGCCCUCAACCCACUGGCUCUAAAAAUAGCCAACAUCAAAGGCCGAGUUGGUUUCUGAUUCAUAAGGAAGGCCGUUUAAAAAGAUCUUAAUAUAGAUGUUAGAAUAGAACCUGUAUCCCUAAUUGUAUGUAUUAACGAAUAAAUCGUGCUUUAGGUGUUAAGGGUUAUGCAUAGCAAUAUUACUUACUAUUUAGAUAAUUUUAUUAAGAUAUAUAUUUCAACUACUUAGAGUUAUUGACCUUAAAUAUUUCAAUUUUUGAUGUGUAAUAUUUUAAUUUUUAAAUAUUUUAAGUUUAUUAUGUUUUUAAUGUGUUUAUUUAAACGAUAAAACGCCAGGGAAAUUAUUUUUGAGGGUUUUUUUUUCUGAAACAUUGGAAGGGCCAAAAAUGGACAGAUUUAUCAACCAGUAUUUAUAUUUUGUAUUUGUACUAAUGUGUGCCUAACAUCGUUUAUAAGUCUUGGUAAAACUAACACGUUAUGGGCUCAUAAAGCCUGAUAGAUGAUACACGAUUUUUAUGUUUACUUUUGAAAAUAUAUUUUCUUUGACAUUUGAGAAAAAAUAUGUCAUUGAAUUAGCUAUGCCUGGAGAUUAUCUUGUCCACUCUCUUAAGCCUCAGAAGAUCCUUUAUGUAUGAUAAUACAAUCAAAAGAUAAGCUAGGAAGUGAAUCUACAAUUGCUGGAAAUAAAGUUGAUUUUCCAAUGACUUAGGUAUACUAUUUAUAGUAUAUGCACCUGUAUAUGUCAGCUUAGUUAUCUGAUGCUCGGUAAAAAUAUUUAAUUAUUUUUUCUUUCUGCCCCGUUGCCAGUUAAUCUACGUUUGACACAAUUCGUUUUUGGUUUCCAUGCCUCAUACUUUUUGCUGUCGCCUAUAUCUACCUACAAUGAAUAUUUAGGUUAGAGGUGUAGUUCACUUACCCAUUCUCAAAAAAAUAGGUUUUUUCCAAGCAAUUAUUUGAUUGUUAGUUUAAGAUAAUAUAGACCAACGUCUCGAAAUUAUGGAUAAGCAAUAAAAAAUAUUUUGAUCAACUUAAUCGAUCCAUCCGUUGUUUUGUGAUCAGAGAUUGAAUUUUAACAUAAGCUUCAUAUAAUCUAUGUAAUGAAAACCAGCGCUGGGACUCACUUAUGCUGAGCGAGGGCCGUAUUGCGCGUUUUAAGACGCAUAUUUUCCCUUUCAAUUUUUAUGUUCUUAUUAUCUUUUUUUCUGUGCAUUUUGUUAAGGGCAUUUAUGCGUCUUAUAUUUUCGCAAUAAAACUCAUUUUCUUUCUUUCUUUCUUUACUUAUGUGAAAUUACAAUAUCUAAUCGAAAACACCAGAUGGAUCGGUUAUUGGAGUCCGCAGUUAAUUGACAAACGAUCUCAGUACUUUUAGUUCAGUUACAGACAAUGCAAUAUUUUUGAAAAUGCAGCAAGUAUUAUGUGAAAUUAUUACGUUUUUAAUUGAUAUUUUAAGUAUAAGUUUAAAAUAAUUUACUGUAUAAAUAAGUUUUAUGAAUCUUCAUAGAAAACUAAAAGAUGAAUCUGUGUUACUCUCAAAGUUUUUUCUGCGACGAUAGACUUUUUAGUCGAACUUAAAGUUAAUUAAUGUUCGAGAAUUUCGAGGAUAUAUUCCACUCUCUCUCUCUUAAACACUACUGUCUAAAAGGGUUAUUAUUCACUUAUUUUACUGAUUAAUAUGGUAUUAAAUGUAUAUUAUCUUUAAGUUCAUAAAUAGUGAUUUUAUUAAAAAUGAUUGCAAUAACUUUUAGCUUUAGGUUAUAAGAAAUCAUGUUUAAAAUUAUUAUACAAUUUAAUAUUGUAUUUUGGUAGUAAGGGAUGGUACUUGUACUUGAUGAAUCGUGGACAUAGUAUUUCGUAUUUACUGUGAUACAAAAGGGUUAAGGUUGCCUGCCCACAUCCGAUAAACGGUGACCGAUUUUUUGUAGGAGGAGAAUAGAACACACCCAAACAAUAGAGCAACGCACACGUCCUACAAAAAUCGUCCCGAUUAUCUGUUCUGCAAAGUCUGACGUGGGCAGGCAGCCUAAAUAUUAUUUUCUAAAAUGCCUUUCAAGAUAAAAGGUGUCCACGACUCAAUGCGAAAAACAAUAACCGGAAAUAAAUCAUAGGUACAUUUAAUAACGCCUCCAUGUGAAUAUAAAGUAAAUUAUACAUAGAUGUAUUACAAAAAUAAACUUUGGUUUAAAAAAAUUGCUUUAUUAAAACAAAAUGGGAGCCUUCCUUCUGCUUAUAAGAUUUUCGCCGAUAAACUAGCCUAAAAUUAUAAAAUGAUGUGACAA